AUACGGAGGGGGCUAGCGUUGUUCGGAAUUACUGGGCGUAAAGCGCGCGUAGGCGGGCUGGUCAGUUGGGGGUGAAAUCCCGAGGCUCAACCUCGGAACUGCCUUCAAUACUGCCAGUCUUGAGUCCGGGAGAGGUGAGUGGAAUUCCUAGUGUAGAGGUGAAAUUCGUAGAUAUUAGGAAGAACACCAGUGGCGAAGGCGGCUCACUGGCCCGGUACUGACGCUGAGGCGCGAAAGCGUGGGGAGCAAACAGGAUUAGAAACCCCAGUAGUCC
rnacentral:rRNA from 1 species